AUUAUGACCUGAGGGUCCCAUUGGUCGCUGCGGCGCGGGGCACGUUGGGCCCGCCCCGGAACUACCGCUCCCAUGACACCCCGCGAUUGUGAUUCGGGGCGCCAUUGGUCUGCGGGGCGCGGUGCUUCCCGGGAGAUGUAGUCUCUUCUGCUCUGGCUCUGUUGCCCAGGGCAACCGCUCCCUCAGGCCUGAAUGUGGCGGCUGCCUCUGCGAAUGGACGGCGUGGGAGGAGAAUGGCUUCUGCAAGGAAAGCCAGCCGUCCCAUGCGUGAUGUUUUUGGUGACUUCAGUGAUGUUUCCUUGGAAGAUUCAACAAUGGAAGAAAUCAGAAACUUCCAGAUCAGUAGAAAUCUUACCAAAAUAGCACCUGGUCAUAGCAGAUUUCUAAAAAGAAACCAAACUCUAGAUGAGAAACACUUACUCCUGAAAGAGAACCCUGUGCUGGGGAGUGGACCCAGGCUUGCCUCAUGUAGACCGCCCACCACUGCCUCCAGGAUCCGAGCCAAUGCCGCACUCAUGAAGCUGGCCCAGCUGGAAACCCGGAUCAUGAAUCGGAAGCUGCAGAGGAAUUUGUCUGACACGGAAUCUGACUCAAUGACCGCCGAUGCCGGUCUUCCAAAGAGAGCUGACAGAAUCCUCUCCGGGGGUGCACUCGAACUCGCGUCCCAGAACACAGACAAAACUUCCCAGAAUCAAGCCCGUGAACUUCCUGUCACCGAAAAUAAUGCACAGAACGCGAAGGUCAGUAGGUUUCUAAAGAAGAAACAAGCACCUGUUGAAAACAUAUCCCCUGAAGCACCUGCUGGGAAAGAGAGGACUUUGCAAACCCCCAAACAGAAAGAACCUGCUAGAACAUUUGAUUCUCCAGACAGUGACGAAGAAGAAAUGAAAGUAUUGCUAGGAAGCUUGAUGGACUUUUCUAGAGAAAAAAACACGAAUCAAGGCUUCAGCAGCGCUAACGUCAGCGAGGAAGAAGAAAGAAAACUAUUUUCGGUCCCAUCUCAACUGAGAGCAUUUACUGUACCCAGCGUGGAACUCUCCAGGGCAAAGCCUUCUCAGACAUCACACCUGCCAACCUCCCUGGCAGCAGACAGAACCCUUCACAGCACUCGCUCAAGAGCAGACUACCCACAGAGUCACGUUUCCGGUGACACCGCCUCCCACACGCCGUCAGUUUCCAUCACAGGCGCCUUUUCAAACUCAGUGUCUUUAAAGAUGGGGCAUGUCAAGCUUGUGUCCUCCCCGGGAAGGAGUGAGGCUGAGACUGUGGACGAGCCAGUCUCAGAAGGUGCUGAUGACAGCCUCGACGAGUUUAGAAUAAAUAUUUUAUCGCUUGACGGUCUGGCUCCAGCUGUCAGUGAGAACUCCGAUUUGGAACAGGAAGAGGAAAGUGCUCAGAGAGAAAAAACAGCUGGCAAAAUCUUCAGAGCCGAGGCGUCCACUGGGCAGGAUGCCCCGAGGCAGGCCCAGGCGAGGAGCUGGGCAUCACAGGGAAAGGCCGCCUCUGCAGAGGGGGAUGAGAGCGAGGUCUCGGAGCAUCUCAGUGCCAGCUCGGCUUCUGCCAUCCAGCAGGACAGCACUUCCAGCAUGCAGCCACCAUCUGAAGCCCCCAUGGUGAACACAGUCAGCUCAGCUUAUUCGGAGGAUUUUGAAAACUCUCCAAGUCUGACAGCAUCUGAGCCAACCGCCCAUUCCAAGGAGUCUCUUGACAGAACACUGGAUGCUUUGUCUGAAUCCUCUUCAAGUGUGAAGACAGACCUUCCGCAAACAGCCGAGUCUAGGAAAAAGUCGGGCAGGCACGUGACAAGAGUGCUUGUGAAGGACACAGCUGUGCAGACGCCAGAUCCCGCCUUCACCUACGAGUGGACCAAGGUGGCCAGCAUGGCAGCCAUGGGGCCUGCCCUGGGAGGCGCCUACGUGGACCCGACACCCAUCGCCAAUCAUGUUAUCAGUGCGGAUGCAAUAGAAGCCCUGACCGCUUACAGCCCGGCCGUGCUGGCGCUCCAUGAUGUGCUGAAGCAGCAGCUGAGCCUGACGCAGCAGUUCAUCCAGGCCAGCCGGCACCUGCACGCCUCCCUCCUGCGCUCCCUGGACGCGGACUCCUUCCACUACCACACCCUGGAGGAAGCCAAAGAGGAGCCUGCUGGGGACAGGUGCUGGCUCCACUCCCUCCUCCAGCACCCUGUCUCAGAGUGUACUGAGGUGACGAUGGUGAUGGCGUGGUCUGUCCUCUGCCUGACAGUACAUUAGGUGCCACAGACCUGCCCCACUGACCAUGGAGGACGCCCUGGAGGAGGUGAACAAGGAGCUGUGAGCACCAGCAGGUGGAGCUUGACGUGACGUCUUAACAAAAGCAAAGCACCGCAGCUUCCCAGAGUUACCAGCGCAGCACUUAAGACAGGAUCUUACGGCGGGGUGGGGCUCCUGGACCGUGACCGGCGUCUUCUUCCUGGGGAGUACGACUUGGACCGGGACCGCGACUGGGACCGGGAGCGGCUUCUGGAGGAGCGCGACCUGCUCCGACUUCUGCAGGGAAGGGUGCCCAAGGGUCAGCAGCAGCCAGGCGUCGUGGGGAGGCCACAGGAAGAGGCCUCAGGCACUGCCCUGAGGCAGCCUCUGCCUACCUAGAUCUGGAGCGGGAGUAGGAACGGGAGCAGGAGCGCGACCUUGACCUUGAGUACGAGCCUGAAGACUUGGAGGAUCUUGAGUUGGAGCGGGAGGAAGAACGCCCUCGACUCUUGGAUCUGCUCCGAGACCUCGAGGGUCCGCUGCGGGGAGAGGCCUGAUGAUCGGGUGCCCCAGUGGAUGGGCUGCACCCAGCCCACCCUGGCCCUCAGGUUCCUAGACCACCCCAGAUGCAGGGGCUCUGGCUGUGGAUGUGGCGCCAUAGCCACAGCAACGGUACCAAGUUCCUAAAUAGUGUGGCCGAGCCUGCUGCUGUGUGAAUUUAGGCCAUAGGCACAGGCUGUGUGAGGGCGGACGUGAUGAGCGUAUCUGGGGUCUGCUCCCACCCAUCACAAGCUGUGGACCCUGGCCCCCCGGCCACUGCAGACAUCUGCGCUUUUACCUGUUCCUCUUCUCCUGGCCUUUCCUCCGCCGGGCCCGCAUUUUUGCUCGGAAGAACUCAUAGAGGCCGUUCUGCUCCCAGCCUUCACUGUAAGACACGGCAUUCCGUGUGUGACCACGUGACACCCACCCACAAGGAACUCGUGAAAAAGUCAUCAGGAGUUAAUCCACAGAACCUUGGAGAGUACAUGGCCCUGUGGCUGUGGGCUCCGAGCAUGGGCGCAGUAGAGCUUGGGUCAGUGUUCCCACAGGGCUGUCCUCCUGCAGCCCAGUGGCUCCUCUGGUGCCCAUGCCCUUGCCGCCCUGCUGUUCUGCUGAGGUGGUGGGGACCCAUGGUCUGUGGAACUGGGAAACAGGAACACUGACUCAUGGGUGGACGGGCCUGCAGCCCAGCACAGGAAGGAGGAGUGACCACUGGGAAGGGUGGGCUGAGGGCCCUGUGGCAGCCGGCUGCUUGAGAAGUGCCGCCGUGCCACACCUUCCCUAAGUUCUUCUGAUGUGUCUCCAUUAAAACGCCCUUCAUUGAGGGCCACGUGUGUGCUGUG